rnacentral:rRNA from 1 species
AGAGUUUGAUCCUGGCUCAGAAUCAACGCUGGCGGCGUGCCUAACACAUGCAAGUCGAACGAGAAAGUUGUCUUCGGAUGACGAGUAAAGUGGCAAACGGGUGAGUAACGCGUGGGACAUCUACCCCUGAUGAGGGGAAUAACUCUCCGAAAGGAGAGCUAAUACCGCAUAUUCCGGUUUACCGGGAAAGGCCUUCGGGUCGCAUCAGGAGGAGCCCGCGUCCGAUUAGCUAGUUGGUGAGGUAAUGGCUCACCAAGGCGACGAUCGGUAGCCGGUCUGAGAGGACGGACGGCCACACUGGGACUGAGACACGGCCCAGACUCCUACGGAGGCAGCAGUGGGGAAUUUUGGGCAAUGGGCGAAAGCCUGACCCAGCAACGCCGCGUGGAGGAAGAAGGUUUUCGGAUCGUAAACUCCUGUCCCAUGAGACGAAAAAAAUGACGGUAUCAUGGGAGGAAGCCCCGGCUAACUCCGUGCCAGCAGCCGCGGUAAUACGGGGGGGGCAAGCGUUGUUCGGAAUUACUGGGCGUAAAGGGCGCGUAGGCGGCUUCGGAAGUCAAGGGUGAAAGCCCCGAGCUCAACUCGGGAACUGCCUUUGAAACCACGGAGCUAGAGUGUUGGAGAGGAAAGCGGAAUUUCCAGUGUAGCGGUGAAAUGCGUAGAUAUUGGAAGGAACAUCUGAGGCGAAGGCGGCUUUCUGGACACGCACUGACGCUGAGGCGCGAAAGCUAGGGGAGCGAACGGGAUUAGAUACCCCGGUAGUCCUAGCUGUAAACGAUGAACACUUGGUGUGGGGGGUAUAAAGUCCCUCCGUGCCGUAGAUAACUCGAUAAGUGUUCCGCCUGGGGAGUACGGCCGCAAGGCUGAAACUCAAAGGAAUUGACGGGGGCCCGCACAAGCGGUGGAGCAUGUGGUCUAAUUCGACGCAACGCGAGGAACCUUACCGGGGUUUGAACUGUACCUGCGACAUCCAGAGAUGGAUGGUUUCCUUAGGGAACUGGUAUAGAGGUGCUGCAUGGCUGUCGUCAGCUCGUGUCGUGAGAUGUUGGGUUAAGUCCCGCAACGAGCGCAACCCUUGUCUGUAGUUGCCAUCAGGUUAAGCUGGGCACUCUACGGAGACUGUCGGCGAUAAGCCGGAGGAAGGUGGGGAUGACGUCAAGUCCUCAUGGCCUUUAUGUCCCGGGCUACACACGUGCUACAAUGGAUGGAACAGAGGGCUGCAAGCCUGCGAAGGCAAGCGAAUCCCAAAAAUCCAUUCUCAGUUCGGAUUGCAGUCUGCAACUCGACUGCAUGAAGUUGGAAUCGCUAGUAAUCGCGGAUCAGAACGCCGCGGUGAAUACGUUCCCGGGCCUUGUACACACCGCCCGUCACAUCACGAAAGUGGGCUGUACUAGAAGCCGCUGGCCCAACCUCUUCGGAGGAGGGAGGCGUCGACGGUAUGGUUCAUGAUUGGGGUGAAGUCGAAACAAGGUA